rnacentral:snRNA from 1 species
UGAUGUGAAGGCGAUCUGGCUGCGACAUCUGUCAUCCCAUUGCUUGCCAGGGUUGAUUGGGCUGAUCUGGCUGGCUAGGCCGGUGUCCCCUUCCUCCCUCCCUGCGCCAUGUGUGUUCCUCCUGAAGCUGCAUGCUUGGUCAAAGAGGAGGAGCUUUUCUGAAUAGACAAGGACAGGUUUCCAGCCAAAGGUAAACGAGUAGCUGCACUUCCCUGCUAGCAUCCGAACAAGCUCAGUUUGAUAUAGAGAGUCAUUUGGUAAGAAAGGAACCUCAACUGAGAAAAUACCCCCUCAGAUUAGCCUAUGGGCCUUCCGUGGUGCAUUUUCU